UAGUAGUAAAUUUUACCCUCAUGUAAAUCCUUUCUCUUAUAACCUUUAGACAACCAAGAUUACAUUUUAUGUAGGCUACAGCAUUACACUUUGCAACCGAAACAUGGCAUGGACAUUUAGCCUACAACACGUUUAAACUUUCGGUCCGGUAGAAGAUUCGGUCAGUGCCAUUAGUGAUGAUAUGAUACAGGGCACUGGCUGGCUGUGUGUGGGUGUGUGUUUGGCAAUGCACUGCAUGCAGCACAUUGGCAGUGCUUACACAUUAGCAGUGCUUACGGUGACUUGUAGUGCGCAUCGCGGGCGGUAUGGAAGCGGGUUGAAAUGAAUUGACAACCCAAAUCAUUUCGCGGCUGUUUUAUUUAUUUAACCGUUAUUUAACCAGGUUGGUCAUCACUGGAGUCUUCAGGCUCUUCCUCUACCGUGCAACUCCUGGAAAGGCGACAUCCCUGGGACAAACCGGGAACAAGGCAAAAACCUCCAGGGGUCCAUGACAACUUCCAAAGAACAUUCGGUGGACCUUCAGGGGACAAUGACAACAUCCCAAGAACGUCCUCGAUGACAUCCCGGGACCAACCAGGAACUAGACAAACCCACAAGGGGACCAUGACACAACGUCCCAAGAACAUCCUAGGGACCAAGCUGGAAAUAGACAAAACUUCCAGGGGACCAUAACACAACGUCCUGACGACUUUAGGCGACCAUUUCCUAACGACUCAUUAUUGUUUGCAGGGAGGUCAUUACCAAUUAAUUAAUAAAUUAAUUGGGACUUUUAAGGUGUGCCUUAGAAUUUGUUUAUCCCAUCAAGGUGUGCCUGGGUUAAAAAAGGUUGGAAAACACUGGUUUUGUGAUUGGACAAUAUG